ensembl:lncRNA
AUGCUGCGGUGGGUCACUCCUGAGUCACUUCCUAGGACUCCCCAGUUUGCUCUACCUGUGUCCAGCAAGGAGACCGCAUUCUUGGUCACUUAUUAUCAGACGACUCCCAAGGCAAAGAGCAAGAGAAACCGUGCAAUUCCUAAUAAGCUCAUCAUUAGCCACACGACUCCUGGUCCACUAUUGCCAGUUAAUGACCAAACCUCACAGUGUAGACAACUGACAUUUUGCCUGAGCAGCCGUCUCUGGCCAGUGAUAAUUAACCUGAAGGUGUUAAAGAGGCCUCUCUCCUGGAGUCAUGGAUCUGGACGCUAAGGCAAUUUCCCCAUCGUGGCGGCUUUAAUUGGACCAGGCUUCCUAAACAGCGUCAUUUCCCCCUCGACCAGCCCUCUCUGUGCACACAUUUAGAAAAGAGGAAGCGGGUUCAAGGGAGGGCAUUGGGAGAAAAAAAACAAAAAAAAAAACCGCCUGUUGGAGAAACGGAGCUCUGAGAACUCAUCCUAAGUAGAGCAAAUAGCAGGAGGCAUGUGGAAAACUGAUUAGUGAGGAGCAAAGCAGACGUUUAUUGCCCAGAGGUAGAAAGUUCACUAAUCUUCCUGCGAAACCUCUGUUUUCAUUUCCUUCUCAACUAACCUCCCUCUGGACCAAAUUUAUCACCUGUCUUAAGCUUCCAAUUGCUACAGAAACCAAAGAAGUCCAAGGACUAUGAAUGGAAUCUCAUGGGAAUUGAUCUCCCCAUUCCGCCCUGAACCCCCAAGAUCAUCUUGAGAUGCGGACGACUUUCACUACAUUUUGUGCUUUUCCGACCCCCCCCCGCCCCGUUACCAGUGGACUUGAGGAAGGGCGAUGUGGUGGACCUCAGGGAACCGUCAACGCCGAGAAGACAUCUACAUCUUUGCAACAUGAGGCUGUAACGGGAGCCUUCAGGGUCAGGAGAUGAAGCUCUGGGCCAAGCAGCAUUGCUGGGGCUGGGCUGGCACAGUGGACCCUUCUGCUAAGUGAGAGACCUUGACAUGCGGAUUGUUAAAGACCAUCCAAGCUGGAACAAGUUGAGCACAAAAUAAGUAGCCGUAUCGGAUUAUCGCACAAAGUAUCUAUAAGGAGACAUGAGCCCAGAGUGCUAUAAGUAAAUGAAGGAAGAAAUAAAAGAGACGAAGAGAGAGAUCUUCCUCCCGGAAGAGUUUUUAAUAAUGUACGCGGGCAGUCUCCCCCCUCCCCGAAGGAGGUCCCAAGCGCCCUCCCCUGCCUAACCCUCUCCUUCCCUGCCCUUGAACCGACUGGAUGUGCUGCCUUUCUCCCGCAGAACGGAGUGCGGAGUAAGUUUAACGUGGAGACAUCUGCCAAAUGUUCUCUAGGCCAGAUGAUUAAGAUUAAUGUCGCCAAUGAUAAGUGGAUAACUUGCAGCAGAAAGACAGAAUGUAGUAAAAGGAGUACCCCCCCGCCCGUGGUUUCUUCCUUAAACCUUAUAACCCCAGUCUCAUCAGAAGGAAAACAUCGCACAAACCCAAAUGAAGGGCCAGUCUACAAAGUAACCGACCAGUAACAUCCAAAGCUGUCAAGGUCAUGAAAACAAAGAGAGACGGAGAAACUGUCACAGAUCAGAGGAGACCAAGAUGUAACACUGUAAAUGCAAAGACGUAUCCUGACGCAUCCUGACUUUGAUCCUGGAAGGGAAAAGGCGUAUGCAAAUUAGGGAAAUGUACAUAAGCCCGCAGCUGCAUGCCUGGCCAAACACCAAGGCAGGCUCAACCUGGACAACGACCCGUGGGAUGCAGAAUGCGAGCAUUCGGGGAGGCGGCUGAGGAGUGGACGGGGCACUCUCUGCCUUCUCUCUGCAGCUUUCUGCAACUCCCAAAUUACUCCAAAGUUAAAAAGUUGAUUUAAAAACUUGAAAACGAUCCUAUAAUGACCAGCCUAGAAUGUUUUCCAUUAUGUAGAGAAAAGAAAUAGAAUAGAGAAGAAAUAAAAAUGUUGAGAAUAACCACGAAAGGCUGAUGAUCUAUUUGUACAUAACAGAACAAAUCAAAACAAAUGCACCUGCACACACAUUCAAACGUAUACAUACACAAAUGUACUUGUAAGAUAUAGACACACCCAUAUACAUAAAUAGGUGAUAGAUACACAGGCACGUGGAUGAAUAUACCAUCAUGCCAU